GGGGAUCGUAAGACCUUGUGCUUUUGGAGCGGCCGAUGCCUGAUUAGCUAGUUGGUGGGGUAAAGGCCUACCAAGGCAACGAUCAGUAGUUGGUCUGAGAGGACGACCAGCCACACUGGGACUGAGACACGGCCCAGACUCCUACGGGAGGCAGCAGUGGGGAAUUUUGGACAAUGGGCGAAAGCCUGAUCCAGCAAUGCCGCGUGAGUGAAGAAGGCCUUCGGGUUGUAAAGCUCUUUCAGUCGAGAAGAAAAGGUUGUGACUAAUAAUCACAAUUUAUGACGGUAUCGACAGAAGAAGCACCGGCUAACUACGUGCCAGCAGCCGCGGUAAUACGUAGGGUGCAAGCGUUAAUCGGAAUUACUGGGCGUAAAGGGUGCGCAGGCGGCUCUGUAUGUCAGAUG
rnacentral:rRNA from 1 species